rnacentral:rRNA from 1 species
GACGAACGCUGGCGGCGUGCCUAAUACAUGCAAGUCGAGCGGACCAAACAGGAGCUUGCUCUUGUUUGGUUAGCGGCGGACGGGUGAGUAACACGUGGGUAACCUGCCCGUAAGACCGGGAUAACUCCGGGAAACCGGAGCUAAUACCGGAUAACACCGAAGACCGCAUGGUCUUUGGUUGAAAGGCGGCUUCGGCUGCCACUUACGGAUGGGCCCGCGGCGCAUUAGCUAGUUGGUGAGGUAACGGCUCACCAAGGCGACGAUGCGUAGCCGGCCUGAGAGGGUGACCGGCCACACUGGGACUGAGACGCGGCCCAGACUCCUCCGGGAGGCAGCAGUAGGGAAUCUUCCGCAAUGGACGAAAGUCUGACGGAGCGACGCCGCGUGAGCGAAGAAGGUCUUCGGAUCGUAAAGCUCUGUUGUUAGGGAAGAAGAAGCGCCGUUCGAACAGGGCGGCGCGGUGACGGUACCUAACGAGAAAGCCCCGGCUAACUACGU